UGGGGAAUAUUGCACAAUGGGCGGGAGCCUGAUGCAGCGACGCCGCGUGAGGGAUGACGGCCUUCGGGUUGUAAACCUCUUUCAGUAGGGACGAAGCGUAAGUGACGGUACCUGCAGAAGAAGCACCGGCUAACUACGUGCCAGCAGCCGCGGUAAUACGUAGGGUGCGAGCGUUGUCCGGAAUUACUGGGCGUAAAGAGCUCGUAGGCGGUUUGUCACGUCGUCUGUGAAAUCCUAGGGCUUAACCCUGGACGUGCAGGCGAUACGGGCUGACUUGAGUACUACAGGGGAGACUGGAAUUUCUGGUGUAGCGGUGGAAUGCACAGAUAUCAGGAAGAACACCGAUGGCGAAGGCAGGUCUCUGGGUAGUAACUGACGCUGAGGAGCAAAGCAUGGGUAGCGAACAGG
rnacentral:rRNA from 1 species